ensembl:lncRNA
CAGGUCUAAACCAGGACUAAACCAGGUCUAAACCAGGACUAAACCAGGACUAAACCAGGACUAAACCUGGACUAAACCAGGUCUAAACCAGGUCUAAACCAGGUCUAAACCAGGUCUAAACCAGGUCUAAACUUGGACUAAACCAGGACUAAACCAGGUCUAAACCAGGUCUAAACCAGGUCUAAACUUGGACUAAACCAGGACUAAACCAGGUCUAAACCAGGUCUAAACCAGGUCUAAACCAGGUCUAAACUUGGACUAAACCAGGACUAAACCAGGUCUAAACCAGGUCUAAACCAGGUCUAAACC